AAAGACUUUUUACCAAAGUAUCUUGGUAUCUAGGCAUCCUGUUAGGGACAGCCCCUCACUUGAUCCAUUUCUCCAUUUUGAAAAUAUAUCCUGGAAUUCAGAACGAUGCUUACUUAUUUUGAGAUCAUCUUAAGAUUUCCUUACAAAUGUACCCGACAGCAGUGAUCUGCCAGGACAAGAAUUCUGUGGACACUUCCAAGUCACUGUUGAUUGUGGUUUUUUAUUCCUUUAAAACCUCCCUAAAUGCCUUGUUAAUUCCCAACACCCCGAGAACACUUCCUAAAUGCUCACAGCACCCAAUAGCAUGGGAAAGUAAAUGGCUUACGAGGAUGAUUUUGGAGGUGCAAAUAAAGCUUUUGAAGAGACCAUGUUAUCUUAAAGCCUGACGUCGUAACAGCCAGGUAAUCCCGCCUUCCUUAAUGUGGCAUUUUUAUAGGAUCCAGAACUCCCAGAGUCAGAUUAUGUUGAUUUCAGCUUCUCUGUCCAAGUGCCGGGAGCCUGGACUCUGACUGGAGUUGAAUCCAUCUGUCUGGCAAAGAAAGGCAGCCUGACAACACCUUUCCUACAUCCUCCCAAGGGAGUCAAGUUCUGGGCAAUGAUUCUAGAGCGACUCUCUUAGAGCAGAAAUCAUGGCCGCAAUUGGGGCAGUUCUUGGACUGAACACUAGUUUGGACUGAGAAGGUCCUAAGAAGGGAUCUUGUCCUCGCUUCUACGGGCACAGGGGGAAACAAAUCAGCCAACUCGAUGUUAGCAUCCUUAUUGAUAAAAAGCACUCAUACGCAUUUCAAACACGUUUUUUUUUUUUUUGCACUUAAUUUCUGUCAUAAUCUUGUGACGUGGGUAAUUGUCUGUUUUCCAUUUUUUCAAGUUUUUCAUUUUUCAAAUGGUUACUGGGUUUUUCUACAAAGCAAACAAACAAACACCCAGGCACUGAAGUUCUGCUCGAUGUCCUGCAAAUGCACAUCACGGCUCCCGUCAUGGCAACAGGAAUUAGUAGGUUCCAAAUGUCUAUUGUGGAGAUGUUGAAAACCCUGCUCAGAGUAACAUAGCUUUGGGGCAGUGUUGGGAUUUAUAAUUUUUUUUAACGUUUAUUAUAUUUGAGAGACAGAGCGAGUGUGAGCGGGAGAGGGAGCAGAGCGAGAGGGAGGCACAGAUUCCAAAGCAGGCUCCAGGCUCCCAGCUGUCAGCACAGAGCCUGACGCGGGGCUCGAACUCACAAGCCGUGAGAUCAUGACCUGAGCCUAAGUCGGACGCUCAAGCGACUAAACACCCAGGAGCCUCCAGUGUUGGGAUUUAAAUAUGAGUCGGUUAGAGGGCACCCGGGUGGCUCAUUCGUUAAGCCUCUGACUUCUGCUCAGGUCAUGAUGUCAGGGUUGGUUGAGUUCAAGCCUGUGUGCUGAGCUGUCAGCACAGAGCCUGGAGCCUGCUUCCGAUUCUGUGUCUCCCUCUCUCUCUGCCCCUCCCCCGCUGGUGUUCUGUCUCUCCCUCUCUCUCAAAAACAAAUAAACAUUAAAAAAUGUAAAUAUGGGUCUAUUAGCCUUUGCAGCAUUAUGAUGUCACUUUGGGCAAACAAUUAACAUUUUGAAUAAACUUUUUACUCCUCCACGUUGAAAUUACAGAAAGUGAUCAUCAAAGGUUUGGUGUCUUGUUUAUUGCCUGUCUUCUCCAGAAGACUGUAAUCUCCGUGAGGGCAGGAGUCCGGCUACUCUGGCUUUCUCCUGUGUCCCCAUCACCCCUUUCCAUACACGGCAUAAAGUCAGUGUCUAGCAAACAUUUAAUGAUAAUGGGUAAACACACACAAAGUGAUCUGUGAUCUCCUGUACAGUGAUAAACAGCAUAAGGAGAUAAGAAAACUGUGCUUGGGAUUUCAAAAAAGAAGGGAUUUCUUCCAGGCCAGGGGAUGGAAGGUUGAGUGGUAGAUUCUGAAAUGACUUAACGGAGAAAGAAGAUUUGGACUGAGGUUUGGAAUCAAGUAGGGCUUGGGCUUUGUUUGGGAGGACAUUCCGAGUAGAAGGAUGGGAGGACGGAAGUACGGGUAGAAACAGAUCACUGUAGGUAACGUAGCUUUGGGAGCUGGGCACAGAAACAAUGGUGGGGAGUGGAGUAAAAUGGGAGAGGCUGGAGAGGUGGAUGAGCUCCGGGCUGGAUCCAUGAAUGUGGGGUGUCUUGAACAGGAAUCUGUUGUGCUCAAGGCUGUAUUCCAAGGAGCAACAAGGAGCUGCCACCACCGUCUACUGUGCUGCUGCCCCAGAGCUCGAGGGCCUGGGAGGGAUGUACUUCAACAACUGUUGCCGAUGCGUGCCGUCCCCCGAAGCUCAGAGCGAAGACACGGCCCGCGCCCUGUGGGUGCUCAGCGAGCGGUUAAUCCAGGAAGCUCUCGGCAGCCAGUCCGGCUGAGCGCGAGCGGCCGUGAGCAUGCUCGGCACACACACCCGCCCUGUGCGUGCGCUCACGGCGUGUGUGUGCGCGCGUAGCUGCCGACGCUGGGCCCCUGCCAACUUACGAUCCUGGGCCUUUCCAGGUACCCCCAGCCCCCCCCCUCCCCCGACCCAGAUCCACCAGACAAAGGAAGUAAAAGUAGUCACAACAGAGGGAAAAAUGCCAAGCGCCGGUGAGAAGUUGGGAAUGGCAGGGCCAGGGGGACAAUCUCCCUUCUCUGGGGCUGGGUGCGGCCCGGGUCUCUUUGCUUUCCUGGUGGCGUCCUGUUUGAAAGCGAACGCUUAGUUGGUAUGCGGGUCCCUUGUCUCACUGUGGAAGCCCAAGCAAUUCUCUCGCACUGUUUAGAGUAGCCAGGUGCCCCCUGUCUCUCCCCACCCUGGCCACCACCACAGCCACGGCCUUCCCAUCGCCACGCUGUAGCCAGGAGCUGGUCUUCUCCUGUUGAGGGCAGAAGAGGCGAGUGUCUGUCCUUCUUUGCUGCCUGGAUCCAGGAGAUCAUUGUUUGACUCACCCUGACCAAGCCUGAGGGGGCGCGGUGAUGACUGGGGACCCUUGUUCCAGCCAGCCAGGAGGGAGGUGACACUUAGAAAUGGGUGCCAUACACAGAGCUGGUGGGUCGCAGAAGGGCUGGCCCGCCCACUCCCUCGCCAAAGCUGCACCCAAAAUUCUUUAGAGAUUGUAACAAAUUCUGCAAAUCAUGCCCUAGACACCUUGGCAGGUAAGAAAGGAAGCAUUGCGUCCGUGAGAAUAUACAGGAUAUUUGCGGGAGCAGAGGAUAAAAAGUCCUUUCCAUUCAUUCCUCAUUUGCAGUUUCUAGAAGUAACCCGGAUCACAGAGGUUCAAGACCUCUGCAUUAUCCUGCUGGAGAUUUCUGCUUAGACUUCCUGUCACUCCUCCCAUCCUAUGCUUAAUAAAAGAACAUGCUUGACUAUUA